UACGUAGGGUGCAAGCGUUGUCCGGAAUUAUUGGGCGUAAAGAGCUCGCAGGCGGUUUGUUGCGUCGGCUGUGAAAUCCCGAGGCUCAACCUCGGGUCUGCAGUCGAUACGAGCAAACUAGAGUGUUGCAGGGGAGACUGGAAUUCCUGGUGUAGCGGUGAAAUGCGCAGAUAUCAGGAGGAACACCGGUGGCGAAGGCGGGUCUCUGGGCAACAACUGACGCUGGAGGAGCGAAAGCGUGGGGAGCAAACAGG
rnacentral:rRNA from 1 species